UCGGAACAUGUCCAUUCGUGGGGGAUAGCCCGGCGAAAGCCGGAUUAAUACCGCAUACGCCCUGAGGGGGAAAGCGGGGGACUUCGCAAGAGGCCUCGCGCGAUUGGGUUGGCCGAUGUCCGAUUAGCUAGUUGGUGAGGUAAAGGCUCACCAAGGCGAUGAUCGGUAGCUGGUCUGAGAGGAUGAUCAGCCACACUGGGACUGAGACACGGCCCAG
rnacentral:rRNA from 1 species